rnacentral:rRNA from 1 species
CGGACGGGUGAGUAAUGCCUAGGAAUCUGCCUGGUAGUGGGGGACAACGUUUCGAAAGGAACGCUAAUACCGCAUACGUCCUACGGGAGAAAGCAGGGGACCUUCGGGCCUUGCGCUAUCAGAUGAGCCUAGGUCGGAUUAGCUAGUUGGUGAGGUAAUAGCUCACCAAGGCGACGAUCCGUAACUGGUCUGAGAGGAUGAUCAGUCACACUGGAACUGAGACACGGUCCAGACUCCUACGGGAGGCAGCAGCC